UGCAUACCCUGGAACUGAAGUCCUCUCUUUACCCACAGAACAGCAGCAGCACAAGAUUCCCCCAUGUGGCCCAGCCAAAGUGCAUCAUCAAGAUCCCCUCCAAAGUCAUGUGGGGAAUUCAGUCUCCAUAAUGCCUUAGCCUCU
ensembl:misc_RNA